rnacentral:rRNA from 1 species
GACGAACGCUGGCGGCGUGCUUAACACAUGCAAGUCGAACGGAAAGGCCCCUUUGUGGGUACUCGAGUGGCGAACGGGGGAGUAACACGUGAGUAACCUUCCCUUGACUUCGGGAUAACUUCAGGAAACUGGGGCUAAUACCGGAUAGGAAUCCUUGCUGCAUGGGGGGGGUUGAAAAGCUUCGGCGGUUUUGGAUGGACUCGCUGCUUAUCGGCUUGUUGGUGGGGUAGUGGCUUACCAAGGCGGUGACGGGUAGCCGGACUGAGGGGGCGACCGGCCACCUUGGGACUGAGAUACGGCACCGACUCCUACGGGAGGGAGCAGGGGGGAAUCUUGCACGAUGGGCGGAAGCCUGAUGCAGAAACGCCGCGUGCGGGAUGACGGCCUUAUGGUUGUAAACCGCUUUCAGCAGGAGCGAAGCUUGUGGUGACGGUACCUGCAGAAGAAGCACCGGCUAACUACGUG